GACGAACGCUGGCGGCGCGCUUAACACAUGCAAGUCGAACGGAAAGGCCUGCUUUCCCUUGUGGUUUGCGGGUACUCGAGUGGCGAACGGGUGAGUAACACGUGAGUGAUCUGCCCCCAACUUGGUUAUAAGCCUGGGAAACUGGGUCUAAUUCCCGAUAGGACUGCAGGGUGGUGCCUGUGGUGGCAAACUAUUUUCUAGUGGUUGGGGAUGAGCUCGCGGCCUAUCAGCUUGUUGGUGGGGUAAUGGCCUACCAAGGCGGGGACGGGUAGCCGGACUGAGAGGGGGGACGGCCACAUUGGGACUGAGAUACGGCCCAGACUCCUACGGGAGGCAGCAGUGGGGAAGAUUGCACAAUGGGCGGAAGCCUGAUGCAGCGACGCCGCGUGGGAGAUGACGGCAUCCGGGUUGUAAACUCCUUUCGACCGCGAGGAAGCCACCUGGUUGGAAGGGUGGUGACGGUAGUGGUAGAAGAAGCACCGGCUAACUACGUG
rnacentral:rRNA from 1 species